GAUGAACGCUAGCGGGAGGCUUAACACAUGCAAGUCGAGGGGUAACAUGAGGUAGCAAUACUUUGAUGACGACCGGCGCACGGGUGAGUAACGCGUAUGUAACCUACCUUGUACAGGGGGAUAGCCCGGAGAAAUUCGGAUUAAUACCCCAUAAUGAUAUUUAGAGGCAUCUUUAGAUAUUUAAAGUUUCGGCGGUACGAGAUGGGCAUGCGUGACAUUAGCUAGUUGGUAAGGUAACGGCUUACCAAGGCUACGAUGUCUAGGGGUCCUGAGAGGGUGAUCCCCCACACUGGUACUGAGACACGGACCAGACUCCUACGGGAGGCAGCAGUGAGGAAUAUUGGUCAAUGGGCGUAAGCCUGAACCAGCCAUCCCGCGUGAAGGAAGAAGGCGCUAUGCGUUGUAAACUUCUUUUCCGGAGGAAUAAAAUUUCGUACGCGUACGGGACUGAAGGUACUCCGGGAAUAAGCAUCGGCUAACUCCGUGCCAGCAGCCGCAGUAAUAC
rnacentral:rRNA from 1 species